UCUUGGGGCUCUAAAAGGUUCCAGCUGGGUCUCUACAUAACUUGUGGUCAUCUAACUGUCAUGAUAAACAACCUCAAAAUUUCAGUGGCUUGACCCAAAAAAUAUUUAUUUCCCAUUCACGGCAUAGUCCAUGGCUGACAUUUGUGGGCGACCUUCUAUGAUUAAGGCUCUUUCUAACUUGAACUCUUCCUUCUGCCAGGGCAUCUCACUGAGCUGCAGAUGAUUAGAGAGACCAUGGAGGAGACACACCGACUUCUUAACCAUAACAACACCGAGAGGAGAACUUCACAGGUUGAGUCUUCUCUUCAGAAAGCCCUCUCACCAGAUGCUAUCUUAUUGCUCUGAGGCCCCUUCCAUCUCCAACUUUAUCAAGUACACCGUGGAAGUUCUUCAGCUCCUCUGCCCCAAAGCUGCUAGCCUCAGAUGCGUCUAUUCACAAAUCCCUGACCGCAUGGUCUAGAAGCCUGGUAAAUAAGCAAGCCCCAGAGAUAUCCAGAGAGCCAGCGACAUCCUGGAAAUCUGAGGCCAUGAGGUUAAGCACAAAAAUGCUCUCUUUCCAGGAAGGAAUGACUGAAUCAGAGUGAUGACCUUGGCUUUCGAUCAGUCUUUGUGCAGCCUUUCCCACUCUUUUCCUCUGCUCCCCCCUGCCCCCACGUGCCCCAAGCUGUGGAGGGGCUAGGCCUGCUCCCCACCCCACCCCUUGUCUCUUGCACAAGUCCAUCCUGCCUUUGGCAUGUGCCCGAGGACUUCAUGUGUCUACACAGCCCAGCUGAGCCAAGCUUCCUCUCCAGAUCCGAGGAGAAUGCCUGUCAGGAAGCUCAGUUAUUUGGAGAAUGUGAAAUACAGUAUUUUAAUGGAGCCAUUUUUCACAUCCCUCUAGAAAAAGGAUGUAGAGUUUGUUGUUUGUCUAUCUGCAAAUGAGUCUUGUUCACACUAGAGCACCUUCCUGAUUUCGACACAUCAAGCUCUUGGUGUUUUUCUCUGCCACAAAGAGAUUUUUGGCUCUGGCACUCAACUCCACAGGUGCAGGCCAGUGAGACAAGCUGUUGAAAUGCAGAAAGUGUUGUUAGGAAAGGGACCCUCCUUUGGAUUUAAUCCUGAAAUUACGGUGCCAAGCCAUGCUACAGCAAAACAUCAAGCAGGGUGUUGAAAUUCAUUUCUAGAAACCAUGCCUGGUCUUAAAACGAAACCACGAGGGUAGCAGCAGGGCGGGUGAAAUGAGUGCCACUAUGACAUUUGGCUCCAACACAAGUGGAUGAAGUUUUCGAUAACAAUUUGCUUUUGGCUGGUUUUCUUCCCUGACAAACCCCAAACCCUCUCUAGUCAUUGGCAACAGGGACUGUGAACAGGAGUCAAAUUUGCUGAUUUUCUUUGUCCGGGAUGAACUGUUAGAUCCUCUCCUUUGUUAGAGUGAGUUUAUAUUUAUCACAAUAAAGAUAAACAGUUAAAACAACAAAGUUGAGAACAUAAUUCAUAUCCCUGGGCUACUGAGCUCCAAACAUUUCACUACUUUGGAAUAAAAAAAAAUCCCCAUCUAGCAGUGACUGGCUUUUCCAGAUGAAACCGCGCUACACAAACAUACUUUGAGUAUGUGUGAUUUCACUUAAAAUAUGUGUCCUGGCUCAGAGACCUAGGGCAAAACCAAAUCAAUUCAGUGACAUGAAUAAUCCUUACUCCUGGAUCACUUUAUGGAAGAGAGUUCUGCCUCACUUGGUGCUAGAAAAUAAAUGAUUUUUAGAACCAAAGGUUCCUGUGUAGUGUUGACAGUGAAACUUCACUGAGGGGAAGUGAAGGCAGGAGAAGGGAACGUGGUGGUGAGAAGCCAAGGAA